CCUUUAGUGGUCAAGUGGUUACACUAACACUGUUUAUUACGCAGUAGACCGGGGUUCGAUUCCCCACCGGAUGG